CCACCUGGAUGUGCUCUGCCUCCUACGACUGAUUUGUUCAUCAUCGUCUCGACUUUGAUUCACCUUAGUGGAUGAUUUGUGGAGAAAAGUCACGUUCUCCUAAGCAUUGACUUCAAUCCCUUCUUGCUCGGAUGGACUACGUGGUUUCGCAACUCUACUGAAGGUUGUUCAUGGGUUUAUUGUACAUAGUGGUAUGGAGGAGAAGCUGAUUAUUGAAGAGGAAGAGCCCUGUGUCAUGCACUUGACACAUUUGCAAUAAAUAAUAAAUUUAAACAUUUCAAAGGUGUAUGAAUUGACUUCCCUUCAGUAUUUUUAAGUACCUUAUAAGGUGACUUCAUAGUUUUUCAGCUUAUGGCGCCCAACGUGGGGCAACGACGA